UAGAGAAGUCAUAGACUCUUGGAGACAUCCAAAAUGUCUGAUAAAAUGAUAUCUAAAGUGGAGAAUGAUAAUGUUCAAAAGCAGGUUGAUGUGAACUCCAUGUCAAAGAAAAUUAAAAUACUGAGGAUCUGGCUGCUUAAGAUAUCGAAGACUCCUGACAUUAUCAGGGAGAACAUGCGUGAAGAUAUUAUUAUUGAAAAUCAGGAGCUUAUGAACCAUACACAUGGCAAACUUGAGGAGACAUACUAAUUCUCCACAGCUUGCAAUGGAAGUGAGAAAAUGGUGCUUGAGAAUUCAGUUCUUGUCACAUUCCUCAGGCAAUUGAAAUCAAAGGCAGAAAAUCUUGUGACAGAAAGAGAUGCCCUUGAGGAGUUGAGGACCCAGUCUAAGGAGUUCUUGGCACAGCAAACGGAUGUCAAAAUUACUAUGUUAAACAUUGAACCAUAACUAGUUGAAUCUAUCAAUGAUUAACUAAAUUCUCAAGUUAGAAUUGGAAAACAAUUGUUGUCUCAGAAGAAAAAAGAAAUUAUGAAAGCAGUAGAGAUGUUUAGUAUAACAAACCAAUUGAGUCUCUAGACCAUAAUUUAGAUAUCAUUAAAUCUCCUUAUAUCCUAAUAGCUGGUUAUUUGAUCAUUUGUGAUAAGCUUGGCACCAGUUAAUAUUAAAAUAUUUGAUCAAUAUAUUGUUUAAAGGAUCAUUUCCAGGUUCAAAAUUUGGUCUCUAGGAGCUGCUUGUUGCGUCGCCAUCUUUGCCCGCGUCAUUAUUGUCAGUUCAGGCCUGCUGUUGACUCGUCUUCUCUUCUCCGGUGCGCACCCAUUUCUAUGGUGCAAGGGUGAGGAACUACCACCAGAUAUCGCUGCAGGGAUGAAUUUUGUGGAAGGACCGAGUGAAAAACAGAAUCCUAGGAUUGGAGUUAUUUUGGUUUGAAACAAAUAUUUUUUUGAAUUUGACUAUUCAAUUCUUAGCAAGAGAUUUACUAUGUUGAUAUUUUUAUAAAUAUAUUAUUUUAUUUUUCAGUUAAUUUUGUUGUUUUUUUCACAAGUUUAGAUUCAAUAGAUGAAAAAUAUUAAAA